rnacentral:rRNA from 1 species
UACGAAGGACCCGAGCGUUAUCCGGAUUUAUUGGGUUUAAAGGGUGCGUAGGCGGAUUUACAAGUCAGUGGUGAAAUCUCCCAGCUUAACUGGGAAACUGCCCAUUGAAACUGUUUAUCUUGAGUACAUUUGAGGCGGGCGGAAUGUGUUCAUGUAGAGGUGAAAUUCUUAGAUAUGACACAGAACACCAAUUGCGAAGGCAGCUCGCCUAAACUGUAACUGACGCUGAGGCACGAAAGCGUGGGGAUCAAACAGG